AUUGAACGCUGGCGGCAUGCUUUACACAUGCAAGUCGAACGGCAGCGGGGAGGAGCUUGCUUCUCUGCCGGCGAGUGGCGAACGGGUGAGUAAUACAUCGGAACGUGUCGAGAAGAGGGGGAUAACCACCCGAAAGGGUGGCUAAUACCGCAUAAAUUCUGAGGAAGAAAGCUGGGGACCUAGGAAUAGGCCUAGCGCUUUUUGAGCGGCCGAUGUCGGAUUAGCUAGUUGGUGAGGUAAAGGCUCACCAAGGCGAAGAUCUGUAGCGGGUCUGAGAGGAUGAUCCGCCACACUGGGACUGAGACACGGCCCAGACUCCUACGGGAGGCAGCAGUGGGGAAUUUUGGACAAUGGGGGCAACCCUGAUCCAGCCAUGCCGCGUGUAUGAAGAAGGCCUUAGGGUUGUAGAGUACUUUUGUUAGGGAAGAAAAGUCAGCUGUGAAUAAUGGCUGAUACUGACGGUACCUAAAGAAUAAGCACCGGCUAACUACGUG
rnacentral:rRNA from 1 species